GGAUCUCUUUCUGGUGAUCCGUCCUUUGUAGAGCUUUUCAUCGUGAGCCUAAAUCUUUGGAUACAGGAAGCAGUCCCACUGAGUCAAUGAAGGCAGCUGUGCUAGCCAGGGCUGUGACCUGAGCCAUAGCCUGAACAAUAAAUUCUGUGAAGGAAGAAGGGCAAACCUCUGGGAAUUGCCUGUUUCCUUGGAAGAUGUGAGGAGCCUGUUGCUUGGAGGACCUCACUGCAUCUGUCGAGCAAGGAAAAGGCAGUGCUGCCCCACAAUGGACAAAAGGGAUGCAAGAUCCCAAGGUCUCCUUCGGCGUCAGAUUUCCAACUUCAGGUCUAAGGAUUUGAAGGGCUUCAACUGAGUCACACAACUCUGAUGGUAGCGGUGCCCAAUCUUCAGCUGUUGCAUCAGCAAAAGGAUGGCUAUUUUCCCCACCUGCUCAAGAUUAAGGCUGUUCUUUUCAAGACCAAAGGAAGCAACCAAAUCUUACAGUCAUAAGCCUGUUGAUUGGAACAGAAGUAAGCUCUAAUAAACCUGCUCAAUUCUGUUUG